rnacentral:rRNA from 1 species
GUGGGGAAUCUUCCGCAAUGGACGAAAGUCUGACGGAGCAACGCCGCGUGAACGAUGACGGCCUUCGGGUUGUAAAGUUCUGUUAUACGGGACGAAUGGUACGACGGUCAAUACCCGUCGUAAGUGACGGUACCGUAAGAGAAAGCCACGGCUAACUACGUGCCAGCAGCCGCGGUAAUACGUAGGUGGCAAGCGUUGUCCGGAAUUAUUGGGCGUAAAGGGCGCGCAGGCGGCGUCGUAAGUCGGUCUUAAAAGUGCGGGGCUUAACCCCGUGAGGGGACCGAAACUGCGAUGCUAGAGUAUCGGAGAGGAAAGCGGAAUUCCUAGUGUAGCGGUGAAAUGCGUAGAUAUUAGGAGGAACACCAGUGGCGAAAGCGGCUUUCUGGACGACAACUGACGCUGAGGCGCGAAAGCCAGGGGAGCGAACGGGAUUAGAAACCCGGGUAGUCC